rnacentral:rRNA from 1 species
CAGCCGCCGCGGGAACACGAACCGUGCGAACGUUAUUCGGAAUCACUGGGCUUAAAGCGCGUGUAGGCGGGCCGCCACGUCGGCUGCUGAAAUCCCCCGGCUCAACCGGGGAAGUGGCACCGAUACGAGCGGCCUCGAGGGGGGUAGGGGGGACUGGAACUUCCGGUGGAGCGGUGAAAUGCGUUGAGAUCGGAAGGAACGCCCGUGGCGAAAGCGAGUCCCUGGACCCUUUCUGACGCUGAGACGCGAAAGCCAGGGGAGCGAACGGGAUUAGAUACCCCCGUAGUCCCUGUCUCUUAUU